UACGGGGGGGGCAAGCGUUGUUCGGAAUUACUGGGCGUAAAGGGCUCGUAGGUGGCCAACUAAGUCAGACGUGAAAUCCCUCGGCUUAACCGGGGGACUGCGUCUGAUACUGGAUGGCUUGAGUUCGGGAGAGGGAUGCGGAAUUCCAGGUGUAGCGGUGAAAUGCGUAGAUAUCUGGAGGAACACCGGUGGCGAAGGCGGCAUCCUGGACCGACACUGACACUGAGGAGCGAAAGCCAGGGGAGCAAACGGG
rnacentral:rRNA from 1 species